UCUGCCUCGCUGCCAUUGCUUCGCUGUCAUUGCUGACAUUUACAUCGAGAAACGCUCCUCUUCCAGAAGCCUCUCGCUGUCGGUAUCUCUGUGUCCGUGUCUUCACUUGUCUUGUCUGCUGCCCGUCCCAACUGUAUUUCAUGUCGGCCGCUCCGGGACCCGGGUCCCUGUGUCACCACACCUCAUGACACAGCUCUUCAAACCUUUGGCCUCACCACGAGUCCACGUUCAGCAUAAAAGACUUCCAAAAAGAGCCUCGAGGAGACAGGAAGCCCAUCGCAGGUUUGUUCGUCGGUUGCAGAAUUCAACCGCUGUUUCGUACGGAAGGAGGCGGCCGUCGCCGUCGGCGGUGCUUCCUUCUGGUGUUUGCUGGUUGUAACAGCAACUCCAUGUGGAAGCUGAGUGUGUUCCAGUGGAGGUGCUGUUACCUUCAGAGAUUCACCAAACGCGACGUGAGGCCUGCUUUUGUUUCUCUGCUUUUGUCGCUCCAUCAUCCUUCACGACUUGCUGGGAGAUCCUGACGAGUAUUUUAACACUGAGGAGACUGGAGAGUGAUGGGGAUCAAGGUGAUGACCUAUGAAUUGACAGCCAGGGAAUCUAACAUCUGCCUGUCAGUUCUGUAGGCCACUGCUGCGUUUGUCCCACUGAACAUGCUCAGGACAGUCCAGGCCUCGCAGACCCGCAGCGACCCGACUGUGAAUUUUUGUGCUCUUCACGUUAGUAACAAUUGUUCUUGAGUAUCUUUCAUGCUUAAUAAAAUCUGAAUGUGUUUCA